rnacentral:rRNA from 1 species
UCCAGACUCCUACGGGAGGCAGCAGUGGGGAAUAUUGGGCAAUGGACGCAAGUCUGACCCAGCAACGCCGCGUGAAGGAAGAAGGCUUUCGGGUUGUAAACUUCUUUUAAGGGGGAAGAGCAGAAGACGGUGCCCCUUGAAUAAGCCACGGCUAACUACGUGCCAGCAGCCGCGGUAAUACGUAGGGGGCAAGCGUUAUCCGGAUUUACUGGGUGUAAAGGGAGCGUAGACGGUCCUGCAAGCCAGAUGUGAAAGCCCGGGGCUCAACCCCGGGACUGCAUUUGGAACUGUAAGGCUAGAGUGUCGGAGAGGCAGGCGGAAUUCCUGGUGUAGCGGUGAAAUGCGUAGAUAUCAGGAGGAACACCGGUGGCGAAGGCGGCCUGCUGGACUGCAACUGACGUUGAGGCCCGAAAGCGUGGGGAGCAAACAGGAUUAGAUACCCGGGUAC